UACGUAGGGGGCAAGCGUUGUCCGGAAUCAUUGGGCGUAAAGAGCGUGUAGGUGGCUCGGUAAGUCCGCUGUGAAAGUCUAGGGCUCAACCCUGGAAAGCCGGUGGAAACUGUCGAGCUCGAGUCCGGAAGAGGCGAGUGGAAUUCCUGGUGUAGCGGUGAAAUGCGCAGAUAUCAGGAGGAACACCAAUGGCGAAGGCAGCUCGCUGGGACGGUACUGACACUGAGACGCGAAAGCGUGGGGAGCAAACAGG
rnacentral:rRNA from 1 species